rnacentral:misc_RNA from 1 species
AAGUCGUAACAAGGUUUCCGUAGGUGAACCUGCGGAAGGAUCAUUAAAAAACGAUCACCGGUGUACCCAAGCGACGUCGAUUACUCGACCUUGUGGGGCUGUCCUAAACUCACAGCAUUACCAGUCGCGCGGGAUACUGAUGCCCUAGCCCUCGAGCUAGGGGCCGAGUGAAUCCCACCCGUGUCUACAUACUUUUGUUGCUUUGGCGGGCCGUGGCCUCCACUGUGGGCUCUGCCUGCAUGUGCCCGCCAGAGGAUCAAACUCUGAAUUUUAGUGAUGUCUGAGUACUAUAUAAUAGUU